AGGUAUAUAACUCAAUGGUAUAGUGUCACUUUAACGUGGUGGAAGUCAUUAGUUCAAGCCUGAUUACCCUUA